rnacentral:lncRNA from 1 species
CUAACAUCCAUGCCCAUCUUCCUCUACUUUAUAUGUGGGACGCCUGCCACAGCAUGGCUUUUGCCCAGCAGUGCCACGUCCGCACCCGGGAGCUGAACCAGCGAACCCCAGACCACCGAAGCAGAAUCUCUGCGUAGAUGCUACUAAUCGCUGGUGUGACAGAUGAGGAAGCUGAAUAAGUGGCAAAGGAUGGAACUGAAGCAAGUUUUGGCAGCUUCUGAAAUCCAAACUCUUCUGAGAAAUGCCACUGUCUGUGGGGUCUGUGUUGAUUUCCUCUACCUUUCCUCUCAUCUGGAACAAGUCCUGUCUCCUCUGAGGGGAGAAGGAAGGGAAGCAGAAGCCUCAGGACUAGAGAACAUGGCUAUAGCCAAGGACUGAAGCUUCAGGGAAACAGCCGAC